GCGUUAGUAGUUCAAUGGUAGGGUUCUCACCUUGAAUGUGAGAAACCCUGGUUCCACUCCCCGGCCAAGGCA
rnacentral:tRNA from 1 species